GUAGCUACAAUACAAGUAUAUAUACACAUUUAUGCAACUAACAUAAUACAAUUACCUCACAAUGCUGAAUACGGUAAACAGACCCUUACACAGUUUGGAGCUCAUCCUUCUGGGAUCAAGGAUUUCUGGAGUUUAAAGUGGAAUGGUAGAGCAUAAGCGGAGCCGGUUGAAGCAAGAUUUCCUACACAGGAAAAGACUUAGCAGUUUACCCCCUCGUAGUGUCAUAAUUUUUCGGCUCGUCCGGAGGAAUCAUCACUCGAUCUACGUCCAACCUCCGCUGAGAUCUGCAUGCAGUUCGGUGAUAUGUCAUGUUCGGUGAUAUAAGGCAGCAAUGACGACUGAAGACUGGAUGGAAAGUCCGUUUGCCUUAUUUGGGAAUUGCGUAGUGGAAGACCUUCGACCUUUUCUGAUUGUUCCCGACGAGGUAAGGCGCCAUAUCUGAGAAGCUCAACCCCAGGACUGCAGUCG
rnacentral:sRNA from 1 species